rnacentral:rRNA from 1 species
GUCUGUGGUCAUACCACCCUGAAUGUGACUGAUCCCGUCUGAUCUCAGAAGCUAAGCAGGGUCGGCCUGGUUAGUACUUGGAUGGGAGAAAAUGAGACAUACU